UACGGAGGAUCCAAGCGUUAUCCGGAAUCAUUGGGUUUAAAGGGUCCGUAGGCGGGAGAGUCAGUCAGUGGUGAAAGUCUGCAGCUUAACUGUAGAACUGCCAUUGAUACUGCUUUCCUUGAGUAAUUAUGAAGUGGUUAGAAUAUGUAGUGUAGCGGUGAAAUGCAUAGAUAUUACAUAGAAUACCGAUUGCGAAGGCAGAUCACUAAUAAUUUACUGACGCUGAGGGACGAAAGCGUAGGUAGCGAACAGG
rnacentral:rRNA from 1 species